rnacentral:rRNA from 1 species
GGAUUGUAGUCUGCAACCCGACUACAUGAAGUUGGAAUCGCUAGUAAUCGCGAAUCAGAAUGUCGCGGUGAAUACGUUCCCGGGCCUUGUACACACCGCCCGUCACACCAUGGGAGUUGGAAGCGCCCGAAGUCGGUGACCUGACCCGAGAGGGAGGGAGCCGCCGAAGGUGAAGCCAGUAACUGGGGUGAAGUCGUAACAAGGUAGC